rnacentral:rRNA from 1 species
GGCUCAGGACGAACGCUGGCGGCGUGCCUAAUACAUGCAAGUCGUACGCUUCUUUUUCCACCGGAGCUUGCUCCACCGGAAAAAGAAGAGUGGCGAACGGGUGAGUAACACGUGGGUAACCUGCCCAUCAGAAGGGGAUAACACUUGGAAACAGGUGCUAAUACCGUAUAACAAUCGAAACCGCAUGGUUUUGAUUUGAAAGGCGCUUUCGGGUGUCGCUGAUGGAUGGACCCGCGGUGCAUUAGCUAGUUGGUGAGGUAACGGCUCACCAAGGCCACGAUGCAUAGCCGACCUGAGAGGGUGAUCGGCCACAUUGGGACUGAGACACGGCCCAAACUCCUACGGGAGGCAGCAGUAGGGAAUCUUCGGCAAUGGACGAAAGUCUGACCGAGCAACGCCGCGUGAGUGAAGAAGGUUUUCGGAUCGUAAAACUCUGUUGUUAGAGAAGAACAAGGAUGAGAGUAACUGUUCAUCCCUUGACGGUAUCUAACCAGAAAGCCACGGCUAACUACGUGCCAGCAGCCGCGGUAAUACGUAGGUGGCAAGCGUUGUCCGGAUUUAUUGGGCGUAAAGCGAGCGCAGGCGGUUUCUUAAGUCUGAUGUGAAAGCCCCCGGCUCAACCGGGGAGGGUCAUUGGAAACUGGGAGACUUGAGUGCAGAAGAGGAGAGUGGAAUUCCAUGUGUAGCGGUGAAAUGCGUAGAUAUAUGGAGGAACACCAGUGGCGAAGGCGGCUCUCUGGUCUGUAACUGACGCUGAGGCUCGAAAGCGUGGGGAGCAAACAGGAUUAGAUACCCUGGUAGUCCACGCCGUAAACGAUGAGUGCUAAGUGUUGGAGGGUUUCCGCCCUUCAGUGCUGCAGCUAACGCAUUAAGCACUCCGCCUGGGGAGUACGACCGCAAGGUUGAAACUCAAAGGAAUUGACGGGGGCCCGCACAAGCGGUGGAGCAUGUGGUUUAAUUCGAAGCAACGCGAAGAACCUUACCAGGUCUUGACAUCCUUUGACCACUCUAGAGAUAGAGCUUCCCCUUCGGGGGCAAAGUGACAGGUGGUGCAUGGUUGUCGUCAGCUCGUGUCGUGAGAUGUUGGGUUAAGUCCCGCAACGAGCGCAACCCUUAUUGUUAGUUGCCAUCAUUCAGUUGGGCACUCUAGCAAGACUGCCGGUGACAAACCGGAGGAAGGUGGGGAUGACGUCAAAUCAUCAUGCCCCUUAUGACCUGGGCUACACACGUGCUACAAUGGGAAGUACAACGAGUCGCGAAGUCGCGAGGCUAAGCUAAUCUCUUAAAGCUUCUCUCAGUUCGGAUUGUAGGCUGCAACUCGCCUACAUGAAGCCGGAAUCGCUAGUAAUCGCGGAUCAGCACGCCGCGGUGAAUACGUUC